GGGGGUCCGCGCACAUUCCGGGGUUGCCCUUGCCGGGAGGCAGAGGACGAAUCCCGGGGAUGAAGAUGAUCGUCGUCGGCUCCCGGUUUGACCGUUUGACCGCCCCGUGUCAGAGCGGUGGUUUUUUGUUGUUGCACACCCAGUGAUGGUGAUGUAGCCAGAUGAAUCAUCAUCAUCAUUAUUUACGGUGGACAAUGAUCAUCAUCGUCGUCGUUUUCAUCAACAUCAUUAUUAUUAUUUAUAGUGCGUCAUUAUUCAUGGAGGUGUCAAUGUGCAACGUCAACAAAGGCGCAUGCCGCGACUAAUUUAAGAUUCCUUGUUGCUGCACCUUCACAGAUGUCCAGUAUGGAGCGGGUCAGCAAGUUACAACAACAAUACAAACAAAACAACGAUGGGAUUUGUAAAAUAGCAGAAAAGGUUCAUACGCGGACGACACUACUACCCCACGUGGACUGUACACUGCGUGCAGCAUUGAGCUUCACCUGCCAGAUAAACACAAGCCGACAUGCAAGCAAGUGUGUCGCCGCCUUGUGCCAGAGGGUGACGCCAAGAAGAUGACUUCACAGAACAGAUCAUUCUACACAGGGGAGGGAGAUGGGAGAGAAGACAAGAGAAGAGGCAGGGAAUGGAUCAGUGGAGCAGGUGGAUGCCUGUCAGAGGCAACGACCUCUCAGUCCCUUCAAUGAGGCCUCUUGUGUUCACCAUGAACACACAAUUAUAUACCCCUCGCGAAGUGUUUAUCCUUUGUACGGCAAAUCUAUCCGAUAUGUUCAAUACUUGGAACUGGUAAUAUUAAUGAGUAAAUAACACAACGGUACAUCAUGGGACCUCCUUUGCCAGUAUCAAAAUAUGAGAAUAGUUUUUUUUACAAGGAAUCAUGUCGCAUUAACCACAAUGCUUGUGGUCAGAAUGCAAACAAAAAACACUCCGAUAAGAAAUGGAUUGUCUUUGAAAAAAAGGUUUCAGUUUGGUGUUCUAAUAUCUUAACACCUGUUUGUUGCCAGAAAAAAAGGGGAAAACUAAUUCUCAUAACACGGCAGUUUAAAGUCAUUUUGUGUGUGCGUGCAAUCACGGUGACGUGACGAAAUCUUCCUCGCCUGGUAUGCAAGAGGUCGUGGGUUUGACCUCGACGCCUGCUGUAUA